rnacentral:rRNA from 2 species
AGACCCGAAACCCGGUGAUCUAGCCAUGGGCAGGUUGAAGGUUGGGUAACACUAACUGGAGGACCGAACCGACUAAUGUUGAAAAAUUAGCGGAUGACCUGUGGCUGGGGGUGAAAGGCCAAUCAAACCGGGAGAUAGCUGGUUCUCCCCGAAAGCUAUUUAGGUAGCGCCUCGUGAAUUCAUCUCCGGGGGUAGAGCACUGUUUCGGCUAGGGGGCCAUCCCGGCUUACCAACCCGAUGCAAACUGCGAAUACCGGAGAAUGUUAUCACGGGAGACACACGGCGGGUGCUAACGUCCGUCGUGAAGAGGGAAACAACCCAGACCGCCAGCUAAGGUCCCAAAGUCAUGGUUAAGUGGGAAACGAUGUGGGAAGGCCCAGACAGCCAGGAUGUUGGCUUAGAAGCAGCCAUCAUUUAAAGAAAGCGUAAUAGCUCACUGGUCGAGUCGGCCUGCGCGGAAGAUGUAACGGGGCUAAACCAUGCACCGAAGCUGCGGCAGCGACGCUGAUGCGUUGUUGGGUAGGGGAGCGUUCUGUAAGCC